rnacentral:rRNA from 1 species
ACGCUGGCGGCACGCCUAACACGUGCAAGUCGAACGAAGUAGCAAUACUUAGUGGCAGACGGGUGAGUAACAUGUAGGUAUCUACCCUUUGGCCUGGAAUAACACGAGGAAACUUGUGCUAAUACCGGAUAAGUCUUUACGGAGAAAGCUUUAUGCACCAUUGGAUGAGCCUGCACUUGAUUAGUUUGUUGGUGGGGUAAUGGCCUACCAAGACUGUGAUCAAUAGCUGAUUUGAGAGGAUGAUCAGCCACAUUGGGACUGAGACACGGCCCAAACUCCUACGGGAGGCAGCAGUGGGGAAUCUUGCACAAUGGAGGAAACUCUGAUGCAGCGAUGCCGCGUGAGUGAAGAAGGCCUUUGGGUUGUAAAGCUCUUUCGUCGGGGAAGAAAAUGACUGUACCCGAAUAAGAAGGUCCGGCUAACUUCGUGCCAGCAGCCGCGGUAAUACGAAGGGACCUAGCGUAGUUCGGAAUUACUGGGCUUAAAGAGUUCGUAGGUGGUUGAAAAAGUUAGUGGUGAAAUCCCAGAGCUUAACUCUGGAACUGCCAUUAAAACUUUUCAGCUAGAGUAUGAUAGAGGAAAGCAGAAUUUCUAGUGUAGAGGUGAAAUUCGUAGAUAUUAGAAAGAAUACCAAUUGCGAAGGCAGCUUUCUGGAUCAUUACUGACACUGAGGAACGAAAGCAUGGGUAGCGAAGAGGAUUAGAUACCCUCGUAGUCCAUGCCGUAAACGAUGUGUGUUAGACGUUGGAAAUUUAUUUUCAGUGUCGCAGCGAAAGCGAUAAACACACCGCCUGGGGAGUACGACCGCAAGGUUAAAACUCAAAUGAAUUGACGGGGACCCGCACAAGUAGUGGAGCAUGUGGUUUAAUUCGAAGAUACGCGCAGAACCUUACCAACACUUGACAUGUUCGUCGCGACUCUAAGGGAUUAGAGUUUUCGGUUCGGCCGGACGAAACACAGGUGCUGCAUGGCUGUCGUCAGCUCGUGUCGUGAGAUGUUGGGUUAAGUCCCACAACGAGCGCAACCCUCACUUUUAGUUGCCAUCAUUAAGUUGGGCACUCUGAAAGAACUGCCAGUGAUAAGCUGGAGGAAGGUGGGGAUGACGUCAAGUCCUCAUGGCCCUUACGUGUUGGGCUACACACGUGCUACAAUGGUAUCUACAACAGGAAGCAAGACUGCGAGGUCAAGCAAAUCCUUAAAAGAUACCUCAGUUCGGAUUGCACUCUGCAACUCGAGUGCAUGAAGCUGGAAUUACUAGUAAUCGUGGAUCAGCGUGCCACGGUGAAUGCGUUCCCGGGUCUUGUACACACCGCCCGUCACACCAUGGGAGUUGGUUCUACCUUAAGGCAAGGUUUAAAACCCUUGACCACGGUAUAGUCAGCGACUGGGGUG